GGUAGUGUUGGCUGAAUGGAUAAGGCUCUUGGUUACAGCUCAGAAGGUCAGGAGUUCAAGCCCCAGCACUGUCG